UACCAGACUCCUACGGGAGGCAGCAGUGGGGAAUAUUGGGCAAUGGGCGCAAGCCUGACCCAGCAACGCCGCGUGAAGGAAGAAGGCUUUCGGGUUGUAAACUUCUUUUAAGAGGGAAGAGUAGAAGACGGUACCUCUUGAAUAAGCCACGGCUAACUACGUGCCAGCAGCCGCGGUAAUACGUAGGUGGCAAGCGUUGUCCGGAUUUACUGGGUGUAAAGGGCGUGUAGCCGGGCCGGCAAGUCAGAUGUGAAAACCAUGGGCUCAACCUGUGGCCUGCAUUUGAAACUGUUUUUCUUGAGUACUGGAGAGGCAGACGGAAUUCCUAGUGUAGCGGUGAAAUGCGUAGAUAUUAGGAGGAACACCAGUGGCGAAGGCGGUCUGCUGGACAGCAACUGACGCUGAGGCGCGAAAGCGUGGGGAGCAAACAGGAUUAGAUACCCCCGUACGG
rnacentral:rRNA from 1 species